GAUUCAGUUUUUUGUUUUUUUUUUACUUUUUUUUAAAAUUUUUUACUUAUAGAAUUUUUGUUCUUGCCAUGAUUGAUGAAAUGUGUAGAAGCGUUGAUAAGUUGACAUUACCUUAUUGUGUUAAGGAAAAGUAGUUUUCUCGUGAACUUUUAUUCUGCAGAAAUUAAUGCAUUCAAGGAAGUUGCAAGGCUUGCCACGCAUACCAUUUUGGCUGCUUGUGGUUUUGGGCACUCAAGGCAUGCUGUCCACUCUGUCCCAAGUUGUGCGUGCGGACAUUCUGAACGCACUCAGCAACUCCGUAAGUCCACUCUAAUGCCAAAUUCAUGCCGAGAAUGCUUUUAUGUCUUUGUAAAGGAUGUUGUUAGCUCAAUUCUGUCCGAGAAAGUAUCCCAUGCUAAGUCAUGAGAAAUUCUCUCAUAAAAUAUUGGAACUGCCAAUCUACAGAGUGCUUUUCCUUUCCUAUACUUCUCAUUUCACUGAAGACACCUGAAUCUUCUUUUUGCCUUCUCUCUAUACCACGCUAGAGACAUUAGCACAAGUCAUCUUGGCAGCACAUAUGAGCAAGAUGCCUUCUCCACCUUUCUUUCUGUGUAGCCAACUAGUUUGGGAUUUAGACUUAGUUGUUGUUGUUGUUGUAUUCAAAGCCUUCUGUAAAAGUUAAUGCUUUGUAUAUAUUUCUGUUUAUACAUACUUGUAACUUAACAUUCUGCAGCAAUAAUUGAAGUUACUGCGUCAUUGCAAAAUAGAAAU
rnacentral:misc_RNA from 1 species